CCUACGGGGCGCAGCAGUGAGGAAUAUUGGUCAAUGGGCGAGAGCCUGAACCAGCCAAGUCGCGUGAGGGAAGACGGCCCUAUGGAUUGUAAACCUCUUUUGUCUGGGGGGAAUAGACUUUACGCGUAGAGUGAUGAGAGUACCAUAAGAAAAAGCAUCGGCUAACUCCGUGCCAGCAGCCGCGGUAAUACGGAGGAUGCGAGCGUUAUCCGGAUUUAUUGGGUUUAAAGGGUGCGUAGGCGGAA
rnacentral:rRNA from 1 species